rnacentral:rRNA from 1 species
GACGAACGCUGGCUGCAUGCCUAAUACAUGCAAGUCGAGCGAACAGAUGAAGUGCUUGCACUUCUGACGUUAGCGGCGAACGGGUGAGUAACACGUAAGGAAUCUACCUAUAAGCGGGGGAUAACAUUCGGAAACGGGUGCUAAUACCGCAUAAUAUCUUCUUCCGCAUGGAAGAAGAUUGAAAGACGGCUCUGCUGUCACUUAUAGAUGACCUUGCGGUGCAUUAGUUAGUUGGUGGGGUAAUGGCCUACCAAGACGAUGAUGCAUAGCCGACCUGAGGGGGUGAGCGGCCACAUUGGGACUGAGACACGGCCCAAACUCCUACGGGAGGCAGCAGUAGGGAAUCUUCCGCAAUGGGCGAAAGCCUGACGGAGCAAUGCCGCGUGAGUGAAGAAGGCCUUCGGGUCGUAAAACUCUGUUAUAAGAGAAGAACAAAUUGUAGAGUAACUGCUACAGUCUUGACGGUAUCUUAUCAGAAAGCCACGGCUAACUACGUGCCAGCCGCCGCAGUAA